rnacentral:rRNA from 1 species
UCUUCCACAAUGGACGCAAGUCUGAUGGAGCAACGCCGCGUGAGUGAAGAAGGUUUUCGGAUCGUAAAGCUCUGUUGUUGGUGAAGAAGGAUAGAGGUAGUAACUGGCCUUUAUUUGACGUUAAUCAACCAGAGAGUCACGGCUAACUACGUGCCAGCAGCCGCGGUAAUACGUAGGUGGCAAGCGUUGUCCGGAUUUAUUGGGCGUAAAGCGAGCGCAGGCGGAAGAAUAAGUCUGAUGUGAAAGCCCUGGGCUUAACCGAGGAAUUGCAUCGGAAACUGUUUGGCUUGAGUGCAGAAGAGGAGAGUGGAACUCCAGGUGUAGCGGUGAAAUGCGUAGAUAUAUGGAAGAACACCAGUGGCGAAGGCGGCUCUCUGGUCUGCAACUGACGCUGAGGCUCGAAAGCAUGGGUAGCGAACAG